UUGUUAACAACCGAAAACUAUAUUUGCGUAGUGGACGAAAUACAAACUAAGGGCACAUAACUGGUGUGAUUAAUGCACUUCACACGUGGUCAGGGGCUUCAGAUUUAAUAACAAAUCUGUUUAUUGACUACAAUUUGCUGUACAAUUAGCAUUUCCUUGCUGGGUACACCAAUCAUCAUCUAUCCAUCGCCUUCACUGCUUCACAUGCUUCUAGGUCUUAAAUACGUAUGGCCUAUGAACCAUAAACUUCUGUGGUCACCAAAUUUACAACACUUGGAAUUUUGUUAAAACCUUCUAGGUUAACAAACGCAAGGGAUUAAUCUACUAUGAGUGACCAAAGUCCAUAUACAAUUGAAGAACGAUUAGUUGCAGCUGUUUGGAUGCAUGAUCGUGUUCUUAAUAAUAAAAAAAUACCCGAAAUUCGGCGAUUGUUCCAGGAACGUUUUGGAAAGCCUUCACCUACACCACGCAUCUUGAGAGAAUGGGAGAAAAAAGUAUUUGAAACUGGUAGUGUUCUUGAUGCACCUCGUUGUGGUCGACCAAGGACAAGAUUUGAACAUCUAACUGCAAUACAAGAGUCACUUAUUCGUUCGCCUUCAUUAUCAAUGAGGAAGCGUUCAGCAGAAUUACAAAUUCCAAAAAGUACUUUGAGAAAAAUUCUUAAGUUAGAUCUUCCACAGGAUUCAGUGGUUUAUGAAGUUCAAAACAUAGAUGAAGAUACAAAAGUGGAAAAUGGUGAUGGCGUUCAGUGAUAGACGUGUUAUACAUUCUGCAGUACAGCAGUACAAAUGUUCUUGUUGGCAAGGGAAACUACUCCAGAUGCUUAACAAAUUCAUGUACAUAGAGGUUAAUUCCCUGUACAUAUUCUAUGGCAUAGUGUAAAUCUGUAACGACAGGUUUACAGUGAUCAUCUGCUUGUAUCGCUGUUGCAGAUAGAACAUUUUCAUGCAAGAGUAGUUGGAGGUUUAUAUCCUCAAAAAUGGGAUAAGCUCUGACAUACAAGCGAUACAAUGGAGAAAAAAAAACCCCAAAAAAACCUUUGAAAUAUUUUCCACACAAGAAGUAAACUUUAAAAGAAAAAAAAAAAACAACAGAACAAAAUUUUAGAGAUUUUUUAAUAAACAUGCUUCGAUUUUACAAGGAAAAUGGAGAAAACUGAGUAUCGUGCUGUCAUAAAGUACUUUCAUUUGAAAGGCAUGACUCCAUCAGAAAUCCAUGAAGAUAUGGUGAGAACCUUAACAGACAAUGCUCCUUCAUAUGCAACAGUCAAACGCUGGGUAAAUGAAUUCCAGCGAGGCAGGGAGAGUGUGAAAGAUAAUCCCACACCAAGGAGACCUCCAACUGCAACUACCGAGGACAACAUUGACCUUGCUCUUAGUAUAAUAAUGCAAGAUCGUUGAAUAUUAUGUCAUCAGAUAGACGAGAGACUGGGCAUCUCAACCGAAAGAGCAGACAACAUUGUGACAAAAGAACUUGGGUUCUCAAAGGCUUCUGAAAGGUGAGUCCGUUGCCCUUUGACUCCUGAACAGAAAUGCACCAGUUGCACCUUGUCCACAAGCAAUCUGGAACUGUUUGAAGCCGAUGAAGAGAAUUUUCUUGCUUGUUUCAUUACUAUGGACGAAAGUUGGGUUCAUCACUACCAGCCUGAAACCAAAGAACAAUCGAAGCAGUGGAAGCACACAUCUUCUCCCACCCCAAAGAAGGCCAGGGUCAUUCCUUCAGCUGGCAAGGUCAUGGUGUCAGUUUUUUUGGAUUCUCAAGGUGUCUUCCUGAUCAAUUACCUUGAAAAGGGUCACACCGUGACAGGGCUGUAUUAUACUCAGCUACUGAAAUGCCUCCGAGAAGCAAUCAAAGAAAAAAUGCCGGGAAUGCUCACCAGAGGAUUCCUUUUUCAUUAUGACAAUUGUCCAGCCCACACCUCAGUGGUUGCCAUGGCAACAAUUCGUGAUUGUGGAUACCAACUUGUUCCCCAUCCGCUUUAUUCACCAGACUUAGCCCCCUCUGACUUUCAUCUAUUCCCAAAAAUGAAAAAGCCCUGGCUGGUCACCAUUUAUAUAUACAAGGGGUGUCUGAAAAGUUUUGAGCCUAACCUAGAAUCGAGGCUGCUAUAUAGUUGAAACAAUUUUUUCUGGUAAGUACAGUCUUUUCGGAGUAUUCUUGCUCAUUUUCAUGAUUCUGAUAUUUUAAUUUUUUUUGUUGCAGAUUUUUGAAUAAACAAGCUUCGAAUUUACAAGGAAAAUGGAGAAAACUGAGUAUCAUGCUGUCAUAAAGUACCUUCAUUUGAAAGGCAUGACUCCAUCAGAAAUCCAUGAAGAUAUGAUGAGAACCUUAACAGACAAUGCUCCUUCAUAUGCAACAGUCAAACGCUGGGUAAAUGAAUUCCAGCGAGGCAGGGAGAGUGUGAAAGAUGAUCCCACACCAACGAGACCUCCAACUGCAACCACUGAGGACAACCUUGACCUUGCUCUUGGUAUAAUAAUGCAAGAUUGCUGAAUAUCAUGUUGUCAGAUAACCGAGAGACUGGGCAUCUCAACUGAAAGAGCAGACAACAUUGUGACAAAAGAACUUGGGUUCUCAAGGGUUUCUGAAAGGUGGGUCCCUCGCCUUUUGACUCCUGAACAGAAAUGCACUAGUUGCACCUUGUCCACGAGCAAUCUGGAACUGUUUGAAGCUGAUGAAGAGAAUUUUCUUGCUUGUUUCAUUACUAUGGACGAAAGUUGGGUCCAUCACUACCAGCCUGAAACCAAAGAACAAUCAAAGUAGUGGAAGCACACACCUUCUCCCACCCCAAAGAAGGCCAGGGUCAUUCCUUCAGCUGCAAAGUCAUGGCAUCCGUUUUUGGGAUUCUCAAAGUGUCUUGCUGAUCGAUUACCUUGAAAAGGGUCACACCGUGACAGGGCUGUAUUAUACUCAGUGACUGAAAUGCCUCCAAGAAGCAAUCAAAGAAAAAAUGCCGGGAAUGCUCACCAGAGGAUUCCUUUUUCAUUAUGACAAUUGUCCAGCCCACACCUCAGUGGUUGCCAUAGCAACAAUUCAUGAUUGUGGAUAUGAACUUGUUCCCCAUCCGCCUUAUUCGCCAGACUUAGCCAAGUGAGGGAAUAAUCUAUGGCCUCUGCCAGAAGUGUAGCCAGCUCACUUAUUCGUAUCUUUACUUCAUUUGACACUAAACUCUGCUUGUGAAGACCUGUUGAGGCAAGUGAAUUGAAAUUGAAAUCGAACCAAAUUCGAUGACUUGCACCCAUACCAACCUCUCCUUCAUUGGAAACUAAACUCUGCUUGCGAAGACCUGUUGGAGCAAGUGAAAUCGAAAUCGUAAUUGAACCAUAUUCGAUUACCGGCACCUGUGCCAGUUGAGCUCUAACAGCACCGUCCAAGUGUGAUCAUUGCCAGAGCAGCUGUCUGGCUUCAGUGCUAGUGACACGUAAAUAGCACCAUUUGAGUGUGAUCAUUACCAGCAUCGCCUUACUGGCACUAUAUAUAUUAUAUAUAUAUACGCACACAUAUAUAUCUAUACACACACAUAUAUAUUAUAUAUAUAGAUAUAUAUGUGUGUGUAUAGAUAUAUAUGUGACAUCACAAAAAAAACGUUAAACGCAAUUUGAAAUGAAAACAAAAAACGAAUUUUUUUUU